GAUCCUGGCUUAGAACGAACGCUGGUGGCGUGUCUUAUACAUGCAAGUCGAGCGAGGCAGCAAUGCCGAGCGGCGAACGGGUGAGUAACGCGUAAGCAAUCUGCCCCAUAUCAGGAAAUACCCGUGCCAACGCGCGGUUAAUGUCCAGGAGAGUGGCCUUCCGCAUGGAAGGUUGACUAGAGAUUUAUCGGUAUGGGAUGAGCUUGCGUCCGAUUAGCUAGUUGGCGGGGCAACGGCCCACCAAGGCGACGAUCGGUAGCCGGCCUGAGAGGGUGAUCGGCCACAUUGGGACUGAGAUACGGCCCAGACUCCUACGGGAGGCAGCAGUAGGGAAUAUUGCACAAUGGGGGAAACCCUGAUGCAGCAACGCCACGUGUGGGAAGAAGCAUUUCGGUGUGUAAACCACUGUCAUGAGGGAAUAAGGCCCGCCUUCGGACGGGAUUGAAUGUACCUUGAGAGGAAGCACCGGCAAACUUCGUGCCAGCCGCCGC
rnacentral:rRNA from 1 species